UACGUAGGACGCAAGCGUUAUCCGGAUUUAUUGGGCGUAAAGCGCUCGUAGGCGGUUUAAAAAGUCUGAUAUUAAAGCUCCCGGCUCAACCGGGAAAAAGUAUCGGAAACUUUUAGACUUGAGGUAUGCAGGGGCAGAUGGAACAGGUGGUGUAGCAGUGAAAUGCGUAGAUAUCACCUGGAACGCCAAUGGUGAAGACAGUCUGCUGGGCAUAUUCUGACGCUGAGGAGCGAAAGCGUGGGGAG
rnacentral:rRNA from 1 species